rnacentral:rRNA from 1 species
GACGAACGCUGGCGGCGUGCCUAAUACAUGCAAGUAGAACGCUGAAGCUUGGUGCUUGCACCGAGCGGAUGAGUUGCGAACGGGUGAGUAACGCGUAGGUAACCUGCCUGGUAGCGGGGGAUAACUAUUGGAAACGAUAGCUAAUACCGCAUAAGAGUAGAUGUUGCAUGACAUUAGCUUAAAAGGUGCAAUUGCAUCACUACCAGAUGGACCUGCGUUGUAUUAGCUAGUUGGUGAGGUAACGGCUCACCAAGGCGACGAUACAUAGCCGACCUGAGAGGGUGAUCGGCCACACUGGGACUGAGACACGGCCCAGACUCCUACGGGAGGCAGCAGUAGGGGAUCUUCGGCAAUGCGGAAGUCUGACCGAGCAACGCCGCGUGAGUGAAGAAGGUUUUCGGAUCGUAAAGCUCUGUUGUAAGAGAAGAACGAGUGUGAGAGUGGAAAGUUCCACACUGUGACGUAUCUACCAGAAA